rnacentral:rRNA from 1 species
UACGGGGGGGGUAAGCGUUGUUCGGAAUUACUGGGCGUAAAGGGCUCGUAGGCGGCCAACUAAGUCAGACGUGAAAUCCCUCGGCUUAACCGGGGAACUGCGUCUGAUACUGGAUGGCUUGAGUUUGGGAGAGGGACGCGGAAUUCCAGGUGUAGCGGUGAAAUGCGUAGAUAUCUGGAGGAACACCGGUGGCGAAGGCGGCGUCCUGGACCAACACUGGCACUGAUGAGCGAAAGCCAGGGGAGCAAACGGG